UAGAAAAUAAUAUAGAGGAAGUAUGGAGGGUUUUGAUCUCUCUAGCGCGGGUUCGAUUCCUGCUUUUCUAA
rnacentral:tRNA from 1 species